CUGCAAAUCACUCUGUGAGGAUACAUUUUCAGUAUCUAUUGGUUCUGGGAUUAGAUUCUGUGCCUGUAUUUUUCUUGUAUUAACACACACUAGUUUAACUUCAUUUCUAAGCUGGCAAAUAAGAUCAUUUCUUAGUUCAACUCUAUCCUCUAAUUCACAGACUUUUUCUGACAAUGUUCUCUCUGUUACUUUGUUACACUGGUCAUUUAAAUCUGAUUUGUCUUCUGUUAACCCAUUCAAAUCUACUUCUUUUUCUGCUGAUUCUAAAUUGUCUUGACCUGCAUUUCGUUUACAAAUCAAUGCAUUGUAAGUACAGACUAGUUUCAUAACAUUUCUG